UUUGUCCGGUGUCAGCAGGCAGAUUCAAUUUUCUGCCACCGAAUACAUUAGCAUGGGAUAAUGGAAUAGGACCCUGUCCUCCUAUUUUCAGUUGGUUUUGGCAGCGCGAGGACUAGGGUAAUGAUUAAUAGGGAUAGUUGGGGGCAUUAAUAUUUAAUUGUCAGAGGUGAAAUUCUUGGAUUUAUGAAAGAUUAACUUCUGCGAAAGCAUCUGCCAAGGAUGUUUUCAUUAAUCAAGAACGAAAGUUAGGGGAUCGAAGACGAUCAGAUACCGUCGUAGUCUUAACCAUAAACGAUGCCGACCAGCGAUUAGGAGACGUUGAAUACAAAACACCACCAUCGGCGCGGUCGUCCUUGGCGCUUUCGUGUUCACGCGGGCGCGAGGGAGGGUUGCUCCGACGGGUGGCGCGGAUGAAUGCCCCCCCUACUUGCUUGAAAGAA
rnacentral:rRNA from 1 species